UUGAAGUUAACCAUGCAUGGUUUUUACUUAUAAACUGAUUAAUCAAUUUUCUAUCUAUUAUAUCAAAUGCAAAAAAAAAAAAAAAAUAUGGCUGAAAUUUCCAAAUUCUUUUAUGCUUUCAUCAUUUUCAUUUCUCUAAUUCUUGAUGUCACCAAUGCCGGUCCUAUUUUCUGCUAUAACGACGAUGAUUGUCCACAUAUAUGUAGCCAUCCUCGUGUUCAAAAGUGCCGUAUGUUUUUGUGUCACUGCGAGGAAGUUGAGGAGAAAGAUGAAAAAUAAUUGUUUUUUCUAAGCGUAUGCUUUUUUUUGAAUGCCAAAAUGCUGGUACUUCAAGAAUAAAUAUGAGUAUGUUCUUAUUGAAAUUUUAGAAAGAGAAAAAUCUGAACUAAUCAUUUUAUUGGCAAAUGUUAGAAAUUAAUUUUUAUGCUAAAGUUGUGUUGUCGUUUAGUAAGAAAUAAGAAUUUCAAUUUUUGUCA